UUGGGAAUCUUGGACAAUGGGGGAAACCCUGAUCCAGCCAUGCCGCGUGAGUGAUGAAGGCCUUCGGGUUGUAAAACUCUUUCGCGCACGACGAUAAUGACGGUAGUGCGAGAAGAAGCUCCGGCUAACUUCGUGCCAGCAGCCGCGGUAAUACGAAGGGGGCUAGCGUUGUUCGGAAUUACUGGGCGUAAAGCGCGCGCAGGCGGUCUUCCAAGUCAGUGGUGAAAGCCCGGAGCUCAACUCCGGAACUGCCAUUGAAACUGUUGGACUUGAGUAUGAGAGAGGUGAGUGGAAUUCCCAGUGUAGAGGUGAAAUUCGUAGAUAUUGGGAAGAACACCGGUGGCGAAGGCGGCUCACUGGCUCAUUACUGACGCUCAGGCGCGACAGCGUGGGGAUCAAACAG
rnacentral:rRNA from 1 species